ensembl:lncRNA
CUCCAUUUCCUCUAUAUAACUUCAUAGAAAGUAAUCCAAUAAAUUACAAAUGACUGUUUAAGACGCUUAUCCUCUCCACUACAAUAAAGCAUUGUUUGACUACACAGACCACAACUUGCAAAUAUUGCAACUGUUCAAAAACAAACGAAACAAAAACGGACUUAAUGAUGACUCGUAGGAUAUUAUCGAGCUUGAAACAAAAACUACAAAGGCAAGCCUAUUUUUUGUAAUUUCAGCAACUACUUUACACAAAAUAAAAAUGUUGAAUGAACUUGUAGGCUAGUAGUGUGUGGUUUCUUAGUUUCUCUGUCUGUUGCAUAUUGAUCAUCUCCUUGUGUCAGUGAGGAGAGUCCAUGACUGCUUCUAGUCAGUCCAGUCAUGUAGAUCUAUGUGACAUGGUGAGACCUAUAACAAAGUACCAGAAAUAUCAAAUCAAAAUACAUAGUAAAACAAUGUUUUUGUCCAAACUCUUUAUACACAUACAGUACAUCUCCCCCCCCUCAGGAAUUACAGGUGAACUUUAAUGGAGCUAUGUGCUGUGUCUGAUGCUACAGUAGGCUCACCAUCAAACUGGUAGGAAUCAUUCAACGUCUCCCUGUCUGAAAAUAAUGCAUGACAAUCAUUUUUGGGGGCGACCUGGAAGCAACAGAGGCUGGGCUUUUGCCUAAGAGCACUGGUAGUUGUAGGGAUAGUGUAGGUACAGUAAGUAGAUGUACAAUGAAUAAAUACAAUUUCAGUUUAGGGUUGCAAGUUCGAAAUCAUCAGGCUUGUGAGGCCUAGUUGCUGAACCAGCCAAAACCAAAGUGGCAAUGUGAGGCCAUUUAGGUUUGCUUUCAGGAAGAGUAAGGACUUGGCUUUCUGAGUUCACACACACACCAACAAUGAUAAAUGACAUUAUUGGUGCACUGGGCCAAAAUCAGUCUCACUUUAGACAACAGGACAAUGUUGUCUGGUGGGCUUGUAUACGUUUAAUGGGUUCAGUAUAGCUUCACUGAAGAGCAAAAUAAAGCAGAAAGACUAAACGGAGGUUUCUACCACAGGUGUAACCAGUCGUGACGUUUCAUUCUCCCUGCUAAAUAUGUCCCCUUCAAGAUCAUUUCUAAAUGUAUAGCUGCUUAACAGUCCAGCGUGUACCGACAGUUCACCUAUAAAGUGCUGUAUCAAUCAGUGAAGCAGUUAAGCAGCAUUCCACUUAAAUAAUUACAAAAGGUACUUAGGAUAUAAUGAGUUCCAGUGUCAGAGUCUCCCUUGGUAACAGUUCGGAUGAGCAAAGAUGAGCCAUAUGGUCAUGAAUAAAUACACCAGCAUAGAACCAUAAGCAACCUUAACAAUAAUCUAUCUGUUAAAUCAGAUCAGAUACUGACUGGGAAAUUGACUGAGGAAAUGAGGGUGUGAAAUACCACGAGGUACAGCGAGUGUAAGGACACUUCUACAUCAACCUUUUAGUCUGCAGGUUCAGUCAUUAGUGGAUUGACCAGUAAAGACAUAUGGACUACGGAGAAAUGAACUAGUAUGGUUGAACACUGCAUUUCAGUUUGGAUUCCAGGCUAAAGAUGAACACCCAAAAGAGCAUAAUUCCCAUGAACGGGCAGCUCAGUUCUACAGGAAGGUCUGGAUAUUCAGCUUUUUUUUAACCCCAAGCUGAGCCAAACAUAGACAGCCCAACACUGAAUACUAUUCUGAUACUUAGUCACUGCAAUCUAUGUAUAAACUAUCCUUUACACAUUAAAUGAAUGAACUUAAUCUAGAUUACUCAGUAAUCUACAAUUAUAUUGGAGACAAUACAAACCCUGGUGGUCCCCCAAUAUACAAAUGUUAAUUUAAUUACUAGGUCAUGGGGUUGGAAGGUAUUCCCACACAACAUACAAUCUGUGUUCAGUUACAACCUACAGGCAUCAGUAUUCACGGACAGAGCUCAUGGGAGAUUUUCUUCACAGACAACACGGAGUGGGAUGAGUGGAAUAUAGACUCGGAUGAUGCUGAUUACACUUCACUACUGGUUGGCUCAAGCCCCGUGAAGACACGCCACCAUACCCAACAGACAGACUGACACUGAAUGAGUACACGGCCUGAAGAACACGCUGAAAGGUACCGCCAUGCAAACAAACACAAACGCA